CUGUUCCUAGACUGUUCAUAGACUGUAGCUUAGGAAUAGUGAAAUGACGUUUGUGCCCCUGCUUGACUGGUUGCUCUCUUAGUUAUGUUCAGUAUAAUGGCAUUUUUGCCCUGAUGAACAGCUACAUAGACCUCUUUCUCAGUUCGGUUCUCGUCCCGUAAGAAGCUGCUGCUUGGCUAACCCGCUCGCUGCUGCAGUGCUCAGUGUCGGUCAUGUAUCCUGCGUGGGCUCAGAGUUCCCCCUCCUUUUUGAGGGGGGAGGUGCCCUCUGAUCCCGCUCGGGGUUUAUUCCCUUCGCCCGCAGCCCACUUGAACAAUCAGCAGGCAGAUUUAUCGUAGAAUGAAGAUCCAGCUUGACUCUAAGGACGAGGCAACUCAAAAUGGGUGUUAGCGACUCCGAUUUUGAUGAUCGUAUACGAUUUUUCAGAACUAAAGCCCCUUCAGCUCUCAAUCCCGUGUUCGCUUCUCAAACCAGAAAGAAAGCCGCGUUCACCGAAGAGAGGUACGAAAGAGAGAGGCCUCAGAGAUCAUAGUCGUCUUCUCUAAUUCUCGGACAAGUUUCCACCAGUACCAGGUUGUUUGGAGGAAGCUCCCUACAGGAUUUUAUGAGCUCCCCAAGAUUUACGGAAUGAAGCUCUGGGCAUAAUCGUUCAGCUCAGCCUUUGUGAUCCCAAAUCUUCAUCGGUGACUUUUGCAUUAGACUUAAUAUUGUGGCAAGUGCUUGCCAUUAAUGAGUUGCUAGGGACUGGAAUGGUUACGCAGGAUACAUCUCCUUCAGUGUUGCUAUUCUUUGACAAGCAAAGAUUUAUAUUUAAUGUUGUGGAGAGGUGGUCUUUCGUUGCUUUGGAUAGAGUGGUUUGGUUGGUGUUUUCAGUUCUGUUAACUAAGGGUCAGGGCACUUUCUCGUCUCUCUCUCAUCGCUUCCCCCUCCAACUAGGGCUCAGAGUGAGAAGCGACUGGCCUUAAAACCCAGACAGCAUCGCCAGAAUAUAGAAGACGAUACCUGGGCCUACCUUAGAGAUGGAGCCAGUGGAGCCACAGUCGCUGAAAAAGCUGUCUCAAAUCCCUCAAGCGAUGUCGCGAUGUCGCGAUCUCUUCUCUCCUGCCCAUGGUGAACUCGUGCCUCCUGACCCCGAAAGAUUUGAUUUUGUCACGAUAUUCUUAUGGCCACUAUACUAUGCUUAAUGGUGCCACCAUUAUGGAUGGAGCCUUACUUCUCAAUGUUGCGAACGAAAGCUGUCCCCAACCACAAACUUCUGAGCAUCUGGCUGCUGUUGAAAUUAUGUGUCUGCAACAUAUUAUUAUCCUUCAAAAUAAAGUUGACCUGAUUCAGGAGAAUGUGGCCAUCAAUCAGCAUGAGGCAAUCCAGAAGUUUAUUUAGGGAACCAUAGCUGAUAAUGCACCAGUGGUGCCAAUUUCUGCUCAGUUGAAGUAUAAUAUUGAUGUUGUUUGCGAGUACAUCGUCAAAAAGAUCCCCUUUCCAGAAAGGAACUUUAUCUCACCUCCCAAUAUGAUUGUUAUCCGUUCUUUUGAUGUCAAUAAACCUGGGUUCGAGGUCAAUGAGAUAAGAGGUGGAGUGGCUGGUGGAAGCAUCCUCAGGGGUGUCUUGAAAAUGAACCAAUAUAUCGAGGUUUGUCCUGGGAUUGUUGUUAAGGACGAGAGUGGAAACAUAAAAUGCACGCCAAUAUAUUCUAUAAUAGUUUCAUUGUAUGCUGAGCAAAAUUAGUUGCAAUUUGCGGUUCCAGGAGGUCUCAUUGGAGUUGGAACGACCAUGGAUCCUACUUUGACACGUGCUGAUAGGCUAGUGGGUCAAGUUCUUGGUGAAGUUGGAUCUCUCCCUGAAGUAUUUGUUGAGCUUGAGGCUUCUGGGGGUCAGAACAAAGGGGUCGGAGAAGCAAGGAAAGGUCUCAAAGCUGGCCAAGGGUGAGAUCCUGAUGUUGAAUAUAGGAUCCAUGUCUACAGGGGCUAGGGUUAUUGCUGUAAGGAAUGAUUUGGCAAAGUUGCAACUCACCUCUCCAGUUUGCACCAGCAGAGGAAUUGCAUUCAGUCGGCGAGUUGAGAAGCAUUGUCGUCUUAUUGGGUGGGGCACGAUUCAAGCUGGAACUACCCCUUGAUGUCCCACCCUCCCCAAUUUGAUUAGACUCCACAAAUUGGUAAGACAGAAAGCAAGAAAACCACUAAGACAGCUAAAGAGUAGGGAAGAUGUGGGAAUGCAGGCAAUUAUUGGGAACCAUUUUUGUCAGAUGGAGGAGAAAACAUUGUUGGGAGAAUUAUGUUUUCUGUUUUGUUUCUUUGACUUUUGAUAAAAUCAUGCUUUCAUCUGCAUUCUUAUUCUUCGAGUUUUGGACCCGACUCAUUCCAACAGAUGAGGGAAUGAAAGAUGGUUAUGUUAUCCCUUCCAGAAAAUAUUGUGUUCUUAAUUCGAUGAAGUUUGACUCGA